CAUGCACUUCCUCAAAAAAACCCCCCAAAAAACCCCUGCUUUCAGGAUGAAACAUUCGGCUACAUGCAUUAAAUGAGUCGUCCUAUACACGUACACGCUAUAGUCUGAAAUUAUACCCAAAACACAGUUUAGGCAGUUAGGUACAUGUCACAUGCUUCUGCGUCCAUCGACCACAAUUUUAUCGUAUAGUUAUAUACGGUAUGCCCCUAUUUAUAACAUAUUUUGCUUGAAAGCAGCUACAUUUGCGCCCAUUCCUCGAUAUGGCCAGUCAAAUUAUGCCAGUUCGCAGAAUACUUUCAUCUUAUAAUCUAACUCCUUGUGGUGAGGUAGGCCUAUAUUCAUGUUGUUUCGUUUUCCCCGUGAACCACAUUAACAAUUUUGUAAGAUUACGUAUCCUUUGCCUGAUCCCAAAGUGGUAAUUAUAUAAAUAGACUUCAUUACUCUGUAACUCAAUUUAAGAUAUCUUAAAACUGUAGCGCUAGCCAGCUAUACAAGCCAAUUUGAAGGAUGCAUAUAGCAAACAAUACGCUAUACACAAAUCUCUAGGUUAUAAUAUAUGUACUGUACCAAAUCAUAUAUCUCAAUCAGGGACAUCAGGAAUAAAUUUACAAACUACCUUGCACAUUUAAACCUCAGCCACGACACGCGUGUAUGGAUCGAAAACAAGAUAUACAGAACACCCUACACACGCAUUAUACAUACAUUAUGCCUUACUAUACAGUCAAUAUCUCACGAUAUGGUCUACUCUCCAAACCCGGUGAAGACCCAAGAAAUCAUUAACCAAAUACCGCCCAUAAAAGAUUGCACAACGCAAAAUCCCAAAAUCCUGUAUCAACCGAGGUAUAAAAUUACAAACUGGCAGAGGAAAUACUGCUAGGGAAAAAAAUUAAAGAUUGUCGGUUUCUCGGUCAGGAAGGCUCAGUACAGAUUUUAACUCCACUGUAGGGGAAACAUUUCUUGCCAUGCACACUCGAUAUUGGUCGUGGCAAAAUACAUGAAGCCUUAAUUCGCUGGCGGAGGUAUAUGCAGUUGGGUUAGACGAUUUUAUUGCUGACAUUCCGCUUUCAUGGGUUUCUGCAUAUUCUGACUGGAAAUUGCGUGGCCGAGAUUUCGAAAUUGAAUAGUAAAUAUAUG